UGUGAGCACUGCAUAACAUAAGGUGCUGUAACUUGAGUCGAAACACCUUUUUGGGAGGGGAGGAGGGCUUACUUUCUGAUCCCUCCGCUGUGAAAGACAGUUCUACUUUUGGGACAACACUGGAAGUUAUGUCAUGAGUAAAAUUGCUUCCGACAACCUUUUUUUGUUUUAAUUUGCGGAUGCAAAGCUCUUUAUUGAUCAAAUACUUGGAAUUAAACCGGCUUUCUCUAACUCUGUGGCGGAUGGAUAUGACGAGUCUUAAUUUUCAGUGGAGGGAUCUACCUGGACACUCGAAAAUCCACGGAUUCCCUGAGCUGCCACUGGAGAAGAUUCUGCAAGACAAAUACACACAGUUACCCUGGUGGACACUUAACAACUCAACUAAGGUUUGUCAACUGUCAAGAGUGGGUGGGAAAGAUUUAAAAGACUGCACGCACAAAGUUCUCGACAGGCUCUUCACCAAUGAAGUGAUGGCACUGUUAAAUAUGAAAGGGAAGGGAAGAAAGACAAGAUGGGGAUAGAGGACACCAAUCUGUUCUCAGCAAUAAAAGCUGCUGUCAUGAAGUGGGACCAAUCCGCAACUGAAGCAGCGAUAAGGGCUGCAGCAGGUGAUCAUUUAAAACAUGCCCCUGGAAGGGUGGGAGGAGGAGGGUAUAAAUAGAAAUUAUUGAAAUGUUCUGAUUGUUCUUGUUGUUCUGAUUGUUAUUGAUGUUCUGUUUAACCUCCUGAGACCAAGCAAUUUAAUUAGUCCACUCUAGAAUUCAUUCUGACUCUUAAGUCUAGUUGUUCCUGAGGGAGGGAGGGAAGGACGGACGGAAAGAAAGGAAGGAAGGAAUGAAUGAAUGAAGGGAGGGAGAGAAGGAAGAACAGGAGGAAGGAAGGAAGGAAGGAAUUGCAAUGUUUGUCUUUGUUGUUUUUUGUUUUUUUUACCAUCACCUUUUUCCUCAAAAGACUUGGUUAAGUUAUAUACUUGUUCCCAAACUGCUAUUAUAUAUAUGUUAAAAACUGUUAUUAUAAUUAGAGUGGAAUGUUGUAGAAAUAAAGAGAGACUGCUUUUUCAAAUUCAGUGUUUACAUGUGGUUUUCAAUAUGUCCAAAAUGUAAUUAUCAGUGAAACUUGAUUUGUACAGAUCAUAUUGACAUUGAUCAUUGAUCAUAUUGGUAAAUAUUUAUUGGCCAUAACCGCAAUUUUAAUGUUAUCUGUAUAGGCUACAAUUUCCAUAUUAGUGGAUCCCUUGUAUGUUGUGUGUUUUCGCCUUUCACACUGUUAAACAGGGUUGCCACGUGUCUGGAAAGACCUGAAAGUGCAUGAAUUAAAAAGAUAGAAACGAAGAACUUUAAAGAUCUUGGAUUUACCAAAAGGUCCUUGAUUUUGAGCUUUGGUCUGUCAACUUUGAACAAUUCAACAAUUAUGGGGCAAGAACACUAUAUUUGUGGCGAGAAGUCAACAGUUUUGUGGCAACAAAACUGGAUAUUUUUCUACCAAGAUGUAGAUGAUUUUUGGCCACAAAAACCGAUAUUUCUAACGAGGCAUAGACAAUUUUUUGGCGACAACUGGGCAUUUUUAUUGAGACAUUAAAUUAUUUGUGGUGACUAAACAGGAUUUAGCAAGA